rnacentral:rRNA from 1 species
CCUACGGGUGGCAGCAGUGGGGAAUAUUGCGCAAUGGGCGAAAGCCUGACGCAGCGACGCCGCGUGAGGGAUGAAGGUCUUCGGAUCGUUAACCUCUGUCAGCAGGGAAGAACGGUCACUGUGCUAAUCAGCAGUGAAUUGACGGUACCUGCAAAGGAAGCACCGGCUAACUCCGUGCCAGCAGCGGCGGUAAUACGGAGGGUGCGAGAGUUAAUCGGAAUUGCUGGGCGUAAAGCGUUCGUAGGUGGUAGGUCAAGUCCAGGGUGAAAUCCCCGCGCUCAACGGGGGAACUGCCUUUGAAACUGGCAAACUGGAGUGUGUGAGAGGUAAGUGGAAUUCCAGGUGUAGGAGUGAAAUCCGUAGAUAUCUGGAGGAACACCAAUGGCGAAGGCGACUAUCUGGCACAUAACUGACGCUGAGGAGCGAAAGCGUGGGUAGCAAACAGGAUUAGAUACCCGUGUAGUC